UACGAACCGUACAAACGUUAUUCGGAAUCACUGGGCUUAAAGGGUGCGUAGGCGGCCAUGUAAGUGAGGUGUAAAAUCCCUCGGCUCAACCGAGGAACUGCGCUUCAUACUGCAUGGCUUGAGGGAGACAGGGGUAAGCGGAACUGAUGGUGGAGCGGUGAAAUGCGUUGAUAUCAUCAGGAACACCGGUGGCGAAGGCGACUUACUGGACAACUGUUGACGCUGAGGUGCGAAAGCGUGGGGAGCAAACAGG
rnacentral:rRNA from 1 species